AUCUUUCAUGCUCUCACUUAUUCUGACCAAUCUCUCAAUUCAAGAUUUUCAGAUGAAAAAUUAAAAUAUGGAGGAGAUAUGUAGGUUUUCAAAUGAAUGGUCUCUCGUUUCUCUUUGUAAGCAUACAAAUCUUUAAUAUCCGUCUUUAAAUUCAAGGCGGAUCUUUUUAUUUUGUCUUCUUGUUGAUGUAAUUGGUGGAAAUAGUUGUGGAAGAACAAGCGUCUAAGAUUUCAGUUGACGCAAUAACACAGUUGGUUAUUAUCAAGGAUCCCAUUUCAGAUGCAGUUAGUAAAGCAGGCCUAAUGCUACCCUUAGAUUUGGAUCAUCACCACAACCAGAUUUGGUCGAGGUGUGUUAUGGAUUGAAGCUCGUUUGAACAAGGACGGGGAAUUUGAAGAACUUUUACCAGAUUUAUUCACUCAUAAUAUUAUUAAUUAUCAUUUUUAUUGAUUUAUGAAUAACUUUUUGUGCA